GUAGUAGGGAGGAAUCCCUGAGGCAAGUUUGGGGAUGCAGUUCCCCAGGCCACAAUACCUCAUACACUUCAUAUCUGUAUUACCCUGUUCAAGUCACUUAAAACUGAUUGCCUAACCUCUGCUCUUCUGUCUUGAAUUGAUACUAAGACAUAAGGAGACUGCUGCUGGAGAGGCAAUCAUCAAAGGAGAGAAAGGAGGGACCAGACCAAGAAGGAAUUCAGCUGCUGUUCAUGAUGUAAGAAAGAAGUCAUGUAGACCUUUUUUUUAGCUAUGUGCAUUUGAAAAGAAAAGACCAGACCUGAACAGAAAAUUUGAUGCCCAAGCACAGAACUCAAGAGAAUCAUCAAAAGGUAAUUAAAAAGGAGGGAAAAUAGAAAAACAAAACAAACAAACAAAAAAUUUUUAAGAGACUCAAUAACUUAAAAUGUUAUAUAUCCCUAUAAGAAAAGAGGUCAUUGGUAACUCUUAAAAAUUGUUAUCAUCACCUG